rnacentral:rRNA from 1 species
AGAGUUUGAUCAUGGCUCAGAAUCAACGCUGGCGGCGUGCCUAACACAUGCAAGUCGCGCGCGAAAGGGGGGCAACCCCCAAGUAGAGCGGCGAACGGGUGAGUAACACGUGGGUGAUCUUCCUUCGAGUGGGGAAUAACACCGGGAAACUGGUGCUAAUACCGCAUGACAUCCUCGAUUCAUUUCGGGGAUCAAAGCCGGGGACCGCAAGGCCUGGCGCUUGAAGAUGAGCCCGCGUCCGAUUAGCUAGUUGGCGGGGUAACGGCCCACCAAGGCGACGAUCGGUAGCCGGCCUGAGAGGGCGGACGGCCACACUGGGAAUGAGACACGGCCCAGACUCCUACGGGAGGCAGCAGUGGGGAAUUUUUCGCAAUGGGGGAAACCCUGACGAAGCAACGCCGCGUGGAGGAUGAAGGCCUUCGGGUCGUAAACUCCUGUCGACUGGGAAGAAUGCACCUGACCUAAUACGUCGGCGUGUUGACUGUACCGGUGGAGGAAGCCACGGCUAACUCUGUGCCAGCCGCCGCGGUAAUUC